UGGGGGAUAUUGCACAAUGGGCGAAAGCCUGAUGCAGCAACGCCGCGUGAGGGAAGACGGUUUUCGGAUUGUAAACCUCUGUCUUCGGUGAAGAAAAAAAUGACGGUAGCCGAGGAGGAAGCCACGGCUAACUACGUGCCAGCAGCCGCGGUAAUACGUAGGUGGCGAGCGUUGUCCGGAUUUACUGGGUGUAAAGGGAGCGCAGGCGGGGAGACAAGUCAGAUGUGAAAACUAUGGGCUUAACCCAUAAACUGCAGUUGAAACUGUUUUUCUUGAGUGGAGUAGAGGUAGGCGGAAUUCCGAGUGUAGCGGUGAAAUGCGUAGAUAUUCGGAGGAACACCAGUGGCGAAGGCGGCCCACUGGGCUCUAACUGACGCUGAGGCUCGAAAGUGUGGGGAGCAAACA
rnacentral:rRNA from 1 species